rnacentral:lncRNA from 1 species
CUGACUGGGGAUUGAACUACAGAAGCCGUGAAAUCAGUGAAACUCCUUGAGAUGAUCAAGUUGGAAGGGCAGUGAUGCAUGCUUUCUCUGUUGACAAGACUGACGUUAAUUCUACUGAACAUGGACAGGGACGCAAAGAGGCCAUAACAGAAUUUGUCUGGAGAUGGUUAGUUGCUGAGUUCUUCAUCUUUAAUCCCACCCCAAACAAGGCUGUAGAUGGAACUCAUCAACAUCGUGACAGAGAAGGUCAA